rnacentral:rRNA from 1 species
GACGAACGCUGGCGGCGUGCUUAACACAUGCAAGUCGAACGGAAAGGCCCUGCUUUUGUGGGGUGCUCGAGUGGCGAACGGGUGAGUAACACGUGAGUAACCUGCCCUUGACUUUGGGAUAACUUCAGGAAACUGGGGCUAAUACCGGAUAGGAGCUCCUGCUGCAUGGUGGGGGUUGGUAAGUUUCGGCGGUUGGGGAUGGACUCGCGGCUUAUCAGCUUGUUGGUGGGGUAGUGGCUUACCAAGGCUUUGACGGGUAGCCGGCCUGAGAGGGUGACCGGCCACAUUGGGACUGAGAUACGGCGCAGACUCCUACGGGAGGCAGCAGUGGGGAAUAUUGCACAAUGGGCGGAAGCCUGAUGCAGCAACGCCGCGUGCGGGAUGACGGCCUUCGGGUUGUAAACCGAUUUCGCCUGUGACGAAGCGUGAGUGACGGUAAUGGGUAAAGAAGCACCGGCUAACUACGUG